rnacentral:rRNA from 1 species
UACGGAGGGGGUUAGCGUUGUUCGGAAUGACUGGCGUAAAGCGCGCGUAGGCGGAUCAUCAAGUCGGGGGUGAAAUCCCGGGGCUCAACCCCGGAAUGGCCUUCGAGACUGGUGGUCUUGAGUUCGAGAGAGGUGAGUGGAAUUCCGAGUGUAGAGGUGAAAUUCGUAGAUAUUGGAGGAACACCAGUGGCGAAGGCGGCUCACUGGCUCGACACUGACGCUGGAGGUGCGAAAGCGUGGGGAGCAAACAGG